AAGGUGACAUGUAGAGUAUGCGGGCUCUAGAGAGACCAUACUGUAACAAGAGAGCAUUGGGAGAAGAGCAAAUAAAAUGUAUGGAGUGGAUGAUAUGCUGAAUGAGGGGACUGUGGAACAAGUGUCACCUCGCAGUACGGGAGAGUUAGAGGCCAACGGCAGGCUUGUGGAGGACUGUGGGAAGGACACAUGGAACCCUUAUCCCCAUCCCAUCUCCUCCCAAACUGGUUCAUUGUUGGAUGAAAGUGGUGCUACACAACUGAAAAAUCUUUUUGUUGGAUAAAAGAAAUACUUCCCCUAAAAUGACAUUCCUAAGAAAUAGAAACAGUACAACACAUCACUUGGACAGAAAGAAGGUGUCACCAGAAAAUUACGCUCCGUAUGCUGAUUUCCAAAGAACUUGAAAGCCUGGGCUUGGCAGCUCUACUUGGCAUUGAGCUUAACAGCAGAAAAGAAGAAGGAAAUGGCUGUAAGCCUAAGAUACUGUGCUUACUGCCAUAGCUAAUAAUGCUAAGCAACCUAUUUUAUCUCUUGAUUCAAUAAAUAUUUACUAUUGAUCU
rnacentral:lncRNA from 1 species